rnacentral:rRNA from 1 species
GACGAACGCUGGCGGCGUGCUUAACACAUGCAAGUCGAACGGUGAAGCGCCUUCCUUUUUGGUGGGUGUGGAUGAGUGGCGAACGGGUGAGUAACACGUGAGUAACCUGCCCCCUUCUUCUGGAUAACCGCAUGAAAGUGUGGCUAAUACGGGAUAUUCUGGGUCUGUCGCAUGAUGGGUCUGGGAAAGAUAUUGUUUCGGUGGGGGAUGGGCUCUCGGCCUAUCAGCUUGUUGGUGGGGUGAUGGCCUACCAAGGCGGUGACGGGUAGCCGGCCUGAGAGGGUGGACGGUCACACUGGGACUGAGACACGGCCCAGACUCCUACGGGAGGCAGCAGUGGGGAAUAUUGCACAAUGGGCGCAAGCCUGAUGCAGCGACGCCGCGUGAGGGAUGGAGGCCUUCGGGUUGUGAACCUCUUUCGCCAGUGAAGCAGGCCUGCCUCGUUUGUGGGUGGGUUGACGGUAGCUGGAUAAGAAGCGCCGGCUAACUACGUG